UGAGGUGGAGUAAUGGGGCAUGUGUUGAGGAGAUAAGGUGGAGUAAUGGGGCAUGUGUUGAGGAGAUGAGGUGGAGUAAUGGGGCAUGUGUUGAGGAGAUGAGGUGGAGUAAUGGGGCAUGUGUUGAGGAGAUGAGGUGGAGUAAUGGGGCAUGUGUUGAGGAGAUGAGGUGGAGUAAUGGGGCAUGUGUUGAGGAGAUAAGGUGGAGUAAUGGGGCAUGUGUUGAGGAGAUGAGGUGGAGUAAUGGGA